GCUGUAGUAGUAGCUGUAGUAGUAGUAGCUGUAGUAGUAGCUGUAGUAGUAGUAGCUGUAGUAGUAGUAGCUGUAGUAGUAGUAGCUGUAGUAGUAGUAGCUGUAGUAGUAGUAGCUGUAGUAGUAGCUGUAGUAGUAGUAGCUGUAGUAGUAGCUGUAGUAGUAGUAGCUGUAGUAGUAGUAGCUGUAGUAGUAGUAGCAGUAACUGUAGUAGUAGUAGUAGUAGCUGUAGUAGUAGUAGCUGUAGUAGUAGUAGUAGCUGUAGUAGUAGUAGCUGUAGUAGUAGUAGUAGCUGUAGUAGUAGUAGCUGUAGUAGUAGUAGUUGUAGUAGUAGUAGUAGCUGUAGUAGUAGUAGCUGUAGUAGUAGUAGCUGUAGUAGUAGUAGUAGCUGUAGUAGUAGUAGCUGUAGUAGUAGUAGUAGCUGUAGUAGUAGUAGUAGCUGUAGUAGUAGUAGUAGUAGUAGUAGUAGCUGUAGUAGUAGUAGCUGUAGUAGUAGUAGCUGUAGUAGUAGUAGUAGCUGUAGUAGUAGUAGCUGUAGUAGUAGUAGCUGUAGUAGUAGCUGUAGUAGUAGUAGCUGUAGUAGUAGUAGCUGUAGUAGUAGUAGCUGUAGUAGUUGUAGCUGUAGUAGUAGUUGUAGCUGUAGUAGUAGUAGCUCCAGUAGUAGUAGUAGUAGUAGCAGUAGUAGUAGCUGUAGUAGUAGUAGCUGUAGUAGUAGUAGCUGUAGUAGUAGUAGCUGUAGUAGUAGUAGCUGUAGUAGUAGUAGCUGUAGUAGUAGAUGUAGUAGUAGUAGCUGUAGUAGUAGCUGUAGUAGUAGUAGCUGUAGUAGUAGUAGCUGUAGUAGUAGUAGCUGUAGUAGUAGCUGUAGUAGUAGUAGCUGUAGUAGUAGCUAUAGUAGUAGUAGCUGUAGUAGUAGUAGCUGUAGUAGUAGUAGCUGUAGUAGUAGCUGUAGUAGUAGUAGCUGUAGUAGUAGUAGCUGUAGUAGUAGUAGCUGUAGUAGUUGUAGCUGUAGUAGUAGUAGCUCCAGUAGUAGUAGUAGUAGUAGCAGUAGUAGUAGCUGUAGUAGUAGUAGCUGUAGUAGUAGUAGCUGUAGUAGUAGUAGCUGUAGUAGUAGUAGUAGUAGUAGUAGUAGUAGUAGCUGUAGUAGUUGUAGCUGUAGUAGUAGUAGCUGUAGUAGUAGUAGCUGUAGUAGUAGUAGCUGUAGUAGUAGUAGCUGUAGUAGUAGUAGCUGUAGUAGUAGUAGCUGUAGUAGUAGUAGCUGUAGUAGUAGCUGUAGUAGUAGUAGCUGUAGUAGUAGUAGCUGUAGUAGUAGUAGUAGCUGUAGUAGUAGUAGC